rnacentral:rRNA from 1 species
AUUCCAGCUCCAGUAGCGUAUAUUAAAGUUGUUGCAGUUAAAAAGCUCGUAGUUGGAUUUCUGGUUUCACAGAACUGGCCUACUUCCUCAAGGUCGUGUGCGCCGUGUUUUGUGUACCAUCCUUCUAGAAAUUGUGUUCCAUCCCUUCACUGGGAUAGAUCCGAGAUCUAGAUCUUUUACUUUGAAGAAAUUAGAGUGUUCAAAGCAGGCUCGCGCUAUGAAUACAUUAGCAUGGAAUAAUAAUUUAGGACUUGGUAUCCUAUUUUGUUGGUUUUCAGGAUCUAAGUAAUGAUUGAUAGGGAUAGUUGGGGGUGCUAGUAUUUUGCGGCCAGAGGUGAAAUUCUGUGAUUCGCGAAAGACUAACUUAUGCGAAAGCAUUCACCAAGGAUGUCUUCAUCA